rnacentral:rRNA from 1 species
GAGUUUGAUCCUGGCUCAGAUUGAACGCUGGCGGCAUGCCUUACACAUGCAAGUCGAACGGCAGCACGGGAGCAAUCCUGGUGGCGAGUGGCGAACGGGUGAGUAAUAUAUCGGAACGUGCCCAGUCGUGGGGGAUAACGCAGCGAAAGCUGUGCUAAUACCGCAUACGAUCUAUGGAUGAAAGCGGGGGACUCGCAAGGGCCUCGCGCGAUUGGAGCGGCCGAUAUCAGAUUAGCUAGUUGGCGGGGUAAAAGCCCACCAAGGCGACGAUCUGUAGCUGGUCUGAGAGGACGACCAGCCACACUGGAACUGAGACACGGUCCAGACUCCUACGGGAGGCAGCAGUGGGGAAUUUUGGACAAUGGGCGCAAGCCUGAUCCAGCAAUGCCGCGUGCAGGAUGAAGGCCUUCGGGUUGUAAACUGCUUUUGUACGGAACGAAACGGUCCUUUCUAAUACGAGGGGCUAAUGACGGUACCGUAAGAAUAAGCACCGGCUAACUACGUGCCAGCAGCCGCGGUAAUACGUAGGGUGCGAGCGUUAAUCGGAAUUACUGGGCGUAAAGCGUGCGCAGGCGGUUAUAUAAGACAGAUGUGAAAUCCCCGGGCUCAACCUGGGACCUGCAUUUGUGACUGUAUAGCUAGAGUACGGUAGAGGGGGGAUGGAAUUCCGCGUGUAGCAGUGAAAUGCGUAGAUAUGCGGAGGAACACCGAUGGCGAAGGCAAUCCCCUGGACCUGUACUGACGCUCAUGCACGAAAGCGUGGGGAGCAAACAGGAUUAGAUACCCUGGUAGUCCACGCCCUAAACGAUGUCAACUGGGUUGUUGG